rnacentral:rRNA from 1 species
GACGAACGCUGGCGGCGUGCUUAACACAUGCAAGUCGAACGGUAAGGCCCUUCGGGGUACACGAGUGGCGAACGGGUGAGUAACACGUGGGUGAUCUGCCCUGCACUUCGGGAUAAGCCUGGGAAACUGGGUCUAAUACCGGAUAGGACCACUGCCUGCAUGGGUGGUGGUGGAAAGCUUUUGCGGUGUGGGAUGGGCCCGCGGCCUAUCAGCUUGUUGGUGGGGUGAUGGCCUACCAAGGCGACGACGGGUAGCCGGCCUGAGAGGGUGACCGGACACACUGGGACUGAGAUACGGCCCAGACUCCUACGGGAGGCAGCAGUGGGGAAUAUUGCACAAUGGGCGCAAGCCUGAUGCAGCGACGCCGCGUGAGGGAUGACGGCCUUCGGGUUGUAAACCUCUUUCAGCACCGACGAAGCGCAAGUGACGGUGGGUGCAGAAGAAGGACCGGCCAACUACGUGCCAGCCGCCGCGGUAAGAC